rnacentral:rRNA from 1 species
UACGUAGGGUGCAAGCGUUAAUCGGAAUUACUGGGCGUAAAGCGUGCGCAGGCGGUUUUGUAAGACCGAUGUGAAAUCCCCGGGCUUAACCUGGGAAUGGCAUUGGUGACUGCACGGCUAGAGUGUGUCAGAGGGGGGUAGAAUUCCACGUGUAGCAGUGAAAUGCGUAGAGAUGUGGAGGAAUACCGAUGGCGAAGGCAGCCCCCUGGGAUAACACUGACGCUCAUGCACGAAAGCGUGGGGAGCAAACAGG